rnacentral:rRNA from 1 species
AACGAACGCUGGCGGCAGGCCUAACACAUGCAAGUCGAGCGAGGACUUCGGUCCUAGCGGCGGACGGGUGAGUAACGCGUGGGAACGUGCCCUUUGCUUCGGAAUAGCCCUGGGAAACUGGGAGUAAUACCGGAUGAGCCCUUUGGGGGAAAGAUUUAUCGGCGAAGGAUCGGCCCGCGUUGGAUUAGGUAGUUGGUGGGGUAAUGGCCUACCAAGCCGACGAUCCAUAGCUGGUUUGAGAGGAUGAUCAGCCACACUGGGACUGAGACACGGCCCAGACUCCUACGGGAGGCAGCAGGGGGGAAUCUUAGACAAUGGGGGAAACCCUGAUCUAGCCAUGCCGCGUGAGCGAUGAAGGCCUUAGGGUUGUAAAGCUCUUUCAGCUGGGAAGAUAAUGACGGUACCAGCAGAAGAAGCCCCGGCUAACUCCGUG